UACGAAGGGGGCUAGCGUUGUUCGGAAUCACUGGGCGUAAAGCGCGCGUAGGCGGCUCUUUAAGUCAGGGGUGAAAUCCCGAGGCUCAACCUCGGAACUGCCUUUGAUACUGGGGAUCUCGAGUCCGGGAGAGGUGAGUGGAACUGCGAGUGUAGAGGUGAAAUUCGUAGAUAUUCGCAAGAACACCAGUGGCGAAGGCGGCUCACUGGCCCGGAACUGACGCUGAGGUGCGAAAGCGUGGGGAGCAAACAGG
rnacentral:rRNA from 1 species